rnacentral:rRNA from 1 species
UACAGAGGUCUCAAGCGUUGUUCGGAUUCAUUGGGCGUAAAGGGUGCGUAGGCGGCGCCGUAAGUCAGGUGUGAAAUCUCGGGGCUCAACCCCGAAACUGCACUUGAUACUGCGGUGCUCGAGUACUGGAGAGGAGAUUGGAAUUUACGGUGUAGCAGUGAAAUGCGUAGAUAUCGUAAGGAAGACCAGUGGCGAAGGCGAAUCUCUGGACAGUUACUGACACUGAGGCACGAAGGCCAGGGGAGCAAACGGG